rnacentral:sRNA from 12 species
CACGCUCCACGCGAAUUAGAAAUAAUUUGAAUCAGAGGCCAUCCAACUGAAUCAGUGAUGAAACACCAGUAACUAUGGUUGAUAGGAAUAUCGGCAGUUAGUUACACAAUAGGUGU